UACAGAGGUCUCAAGCGUUGUUCGGAUUCAUUGGGCGUAAAGGGUGCGUAGGCGGCGCGGUAAGUCGGGUGUGAAAUCUUGGAGCUUAACUCCGAAACUGCAUUCGAUACUGCCGUGCUUGAGGACUGGAGAGGAGACUGGAAUUUACGGUGUAGCGGUGAAAUGCGUAGAUAUCGUAAGGAAGACCAGUGGCGAAGGCGGGUCUCUGGACAGUUCCUGACGCUGAGGAGCGAAAGCGUGGGGGAGCGAACAGG
rnacentral:rRNA from 1 species